rnacentral:rRNA from 1 species
UACAGAGGUCUCAAGCGUUUGUUCGGAUUCAUUGGGCGUAAAGGGUGCGUAGGCGGCGCGGUAAGUCGGGUGUGAAAUCUCGGAGCUUAACUCCGAAACUGCAUUCGAUACUGCCGUGCUUGAGGACUGGAGAAGAGACUGGAAAUUUACGGUGUAGCGGUGAAAUGCGUAGAUAUCGUAAGGAAGACCAGUGGCGAAGGCGGGUC